rnacentral:rRNA from 1 species
CAGCCGCCACGGUAAUACGUAGGUGGCAAGCGUUGUCCGGAUUUAUUGGGCGUAAAGCGAGCGCAGGCGGUUUCUUAAGUCUGAUGUGAAAGCCCCCGGCUCAACCGGGGAGGGUCAUUGGAAACUGGGGGACUUGAGUGCAGAAGAGGAGAGUGGAAUUCCAUGUGUAGCGGUGAAAUGCGUAGAUAUAUGGAGGAACACCAGUGGCGAAGGCGGCUCUCUGGUCUGUAACUGACGCUGAGGCUCGAAAGCGUGGGGAGCGAACAGGAUUAGAUACCCCAGUAGUCCCUGUCUCUUAUAC